rnacentral:rRNA from 1 species
GACGAACGCUGGCGGCGUGCUUAACACAUGCAAGUCGAACGAAGAGCGAUGGAAGCUUGCUUCUAUCAAUCUUAGUGGCGAACGGGUGAGUAACGCGUAAUCAACCUGCCCUUCAGAGGGGGACAACAGUUGGAAACGACUGCUAAUACCGCAUACGAUCUAAUCUCGGCAUCGAGGAUAGAUGAAAGGUGGCCUCUACAUGUAAGCUAUCACUGAAGGAGGGGAUUGCGUCUGAUUAGCUAGUUGGAGGGGUAACGGCCCACCAAGGCGAUGAUCAGUAGCCGGUCUGAGAGGAUGAACGGCCACAUUGGGACUGAGACACGGCCCAGACUCCUACGGGAGGCAGCAGUGGGGAAUCUUCCGCAAUGGACGAAAGUCUGACGGAGCAACGCCGCGUGAGUGAUGACGGCCUUCGGGUUGUAAAAGCUCUGUUAAAUCGGGACGAAAAGGCCCUUC